rnacentral:lncRNA from 1 species
GCAGAGGCCAAGGACGGCUGCAGCCCCAGGAUACAUGGCUAUGAAAGACAUUCAUCAUACUGUGGGCUAGCCUGAACCAGCCACUCUGGAGAGACCACUUGUCAAGGCACAAUGGAUACGAACUGAAUCUCAACAACCAGCAUCAACCAUCAAAAGAUAUGCAAGUAAAUGACCCUUCAAAAGAGGCCCUAGUCUUUGGGUCUCACAGUUGAGGCCAUAGACAUAAUGGAGCAGGGACAAACUAUCUCUGCAAUGCCCCAUCUGAAAUCUUGACCACAGAAUCCA